AUUGAACGCUGGCGGCAUGCUUUACACAUGCAAGUCGAACGGUAACAGGCCGCAAGGUGCUGACGAGUGGCGAACGGGUGAGUAAUGCAUCGGAACGUGCCCAGUCGUGGGGGAUAACGCAGCGAAAGCUGUGCUAAUACCGCAUACGACCUAUGGAUUAAAGCGGGGGACCGUAAGGCCUCGCGCGAUGGGAGCGGCCGAUGUCAGAUUAGGUAGUUGGUGGGGUAAAGGCCCACCAAGCCAACGAUCUGUAGCUGGUCUGCGAGGACGACCAGCCACACUGGGACUGAGACACGGCCCAGACUCCUACGGGAGGCAGCAGUGGGGAAUUUUGGACAAUGGGCGCAAGCCUGAUCCAGCAAUGCCGCGUGCAGGAAGAAGGCCUUCGGGUUGUAAACUGCUUUUGUACGGAACGAAACGGUCUGGGUUAAUACCCUGGGCUAAUGACGGUACCGUAAGAAUAAGCACCGGCUAACUACGUGCCAGCAGCCGCCGUAA
rnacentral:rRNA from 1 species